rnacentral:rRNA from 1 species
AUUGAACGCUGGCGGCAUGCUUUACACAUGCAAGUCGAACGGCAGCACAGGGAGCUUGCUCCUGUGUGGCGAGUGGCGAACGGGUGAGUAAUGUAUCGGAACGUGCCUGGUAGUGGGGGAUAACUACUCGAAAGAGUGGCUAAUACCGCAUGAGAUCAUUGGAUGAAAGCGGGGGACCUUCGGGCCUCGUGCUACUGGAGCGGCCGGUAUCAGAUUAGGUUGUUGGUGGGGUAAAGGCCUACCAAGCCUGCGAUCUGUAGCUGGUCUGAGAGGACGACCAGCCACACUGGGACUGAGACACGGCCCAGACUCCUACGGGAGGCAGCAGUGGGGAAUUUUCGACAAUGGGCGAAAGCCUGAUCCAGCAAUGCCGCGUGCAGGACGAAGGCCUUCGGGUUGUAAACUGCUUUUGUACAGAACGAAAAGUCUCUGGCUAAUAUCUAGAGAUCAUGACGGUACUGUAAGAAUAAGCACCGGCUAACUACGUG